GCAAGUCGAACGAUGAAGCUGGAGCUUGCUCUAGUGGAUUAGUGGCGAACGGGUGAGUAACACGUGAGCAAUCUGCCCUUGACUCUGGGAUAACUGCGGGAAACUGUAGCUAAUACCGGAUACGACACCUUGGGGCAUCCCGAGGUGUGGAAAGAAUUUCGGUCAAGGAUGAGCUCGCGGCCUAUCAGCUUGUUGGUGAGGUAAAAGCUCACCAAGGCGACGACGGGUAGCCGGCCUGAGAGGGUGACCGGCCACACUGGAACUGAGAUACGGUCCAGACUCCUACGGGAGGCAGCAGUGGGGAAUAUUGCACAAUGGGCGAAAGCCUGAUGCAGCAACGCCGCGUGAGGGAUGAAGGCCUUCGGGUUGUAAACCUCUUUUAUCAGGGAAGAAGCGAAAGUGACGGUACCUGAAGAAAAAGCACCGGCUAACUACGUGCCAGCAGCCGCGGUAAUACGUAGGGUGCAAGCGUUGUCCGGAAUUAUUGGGCGUAAAGAGCUCGUAGGCGGUUUGUCGCGUCUGCUGUGAAAAUCCAAGGCUCAACCUUGGACCUGCAGUGGGUACGGGCAGACUAGAGUGCGGUAGGGGAGAUGGGAAUUCCUGGUGUAGCGGUGGAAUGCGCAGAUAUCAGGAGGAACACCAAUGGCGAAGGCACAUCUCUGGGCCGUAACUGACGCUGAGGAGCGAAAGCGUGGGGAGCGAACAGGAUUAGAUACCCUGGUAGUCCACGCCGUAAACGGUGGGUGCUAGUUGUGGGCCACAUUCCACGUGGUCCGUGACGAAGUUAACACAUUAAGCACCCCGCCUGGGGAGUACGGUCGCAAGACUAAAACUCAAAGGAAUUGACGGGGGCCCGCACAAGCGGCGGAGCAUGCGGAUUAAU
rnacentral:rRNA from 1 species